UCUAAAAUGGCAGAUAGAGUGCUUAGGCUUUAAGCGCCUACCAGGAAGGUACUUCCCUUCUUUUAGAA
rnacentral:tRNA from 1 species